rnacentral:rRNA from 1 species
GACGAACGCUGGCGGCGUGCCUAAUACAUGCAAGUAGAACGCACAGUUUAUACCGUAGCUUGCUACACCAUAGACUGUGAGUUGCGAACGGGUGAGUAACGCGUAGGUAACCUGCCUGGCAGCGGGGGAUAACUAUUGGAAACGAUAGCUAAUACCGCAUAAUAUUAAUUAUUGCAUGAUAAUUAAUUGAAAGGUGCAAUUGCACCACUACCAGAUGGACCUGCGUUGUAUUAGCUAGUAGGUGAGGUAACGGCUCACCUAGGCGACGAUACAUAGCCGACCUGAGAGGGUGAUCGGCCACACUGGGACUGAGACACGGCCCAGACUCCUACGGGAGGCAGCAGUAGGGAAUCUUCGGCAAUGGACGAAAGUCUGACCGAGCAACGCCGCGUGAGUGAAGAAGGGUUUCGGAUCGUAAAGCUCUGUUGUAAGAGAAGAACGGGUGUGAGAGUGGAAAGUUCACACUGUGACGGUAUCUUACCAGAAAGGGACGGCUAACUACGUG